rnacentral:snRNA from 1 species
CGGUGCCCAACUGCGCGCUAA